CCAGACUCUGUUGAAGAGAAAAAGCAUGACAGGACAGAAGCAUGUGUCCUUCAGUUUAUGAAGUCAACUUCAGAUGAUAAAUUCUGUCAACAAAAAUUAGAUGAUAAACCACUGUAUUCUUCUUAAGUUUUAAAAUGCACCCUUCUUAAGGGCAGAAGCAUGUCUCUUUCUUAAGUUUAUGAAGUCAACUUCAGAUGAUAAAUUCCCUCAACAAAAUUUAAGAUGAUAAACCACUCUACUCUUCUUAAGUCUUAAAAUACACACCAUGUUGGCAAUUAUGAGAUCUUUCUGAUCAGCAAUAAGGAGAAUAUGCUAUAUGAGAACAGAUUUUAAGAGAGCAAAAUUGAUUCGGAGUUAUGGACACUUACAAGAUAAACAAAUCCUUCUGAAGCCUUUUUAAUUCUCCCCAUUCUUUCUGUUGGUGUAGUUGGUCUUUUUAGUAACACCUGCACGCAUUAAUGUAAGACAUAACAAAAAUAAUGUAAGCAACUUAGCAACAAAAGAGGCAUCUUUAAUAUUCCCAAUUAAUCAACACCUGAUGCUGAGUAUUUCUUCAGUAUUCCAGAAUCCAGACUAAUCAACAUCUUAAAAUUACAGCAAAGCAAUGAGCCGAAUAAGCGGAACUCAUCACUAUGCAUCAGCGCUUAAAUAAGAAAUAUCAAGCGGGGCCUUUCUUCAAAGGUAGAGAGAGUUAAGGAGAAUAUUCAACCCUAUUUUGUUGAGACACAAGAGAUGGAAAAAUGGAUAAUGCAAAAGAGAGCCUGCCAGCUCAAGGUUGUUCUUGGCAGCCUCGAUCUCAAAAUAUCUGUCUCCCAGAGGAGCAUCAGGUAGCACAAGACCUGCAGCAUGGUAAUACAUAUGCAACUUGAUUGUUACAGUGAGAAUAGAACUUCACAACAGCAACAAAGUGGCACAUUACUAACAUCACUGUACAACGUGUAAACUAUUGUCAUGUAAAAUAUAGCUGUGGAUAUAUGUCUAUGUCUAUGCUGUUAUGCAGCUUUUAGUUCCUCAAUCGUCUGCCUGAAAUCUUAUGCACUAGUAAAAACUAACAUACAGGAGAAGCGGUGCUGCAUUUCAGAUAAUUAACAAGGUGGCCAUAUGAGUUGAAUGACAUUUUAAUGUAGAAGGACAUCACUGAAUCUAUGGGAAACUAUAAGGCAUUACCAUGUGCACCGGCUUUCUUUAACAUCAGACAUGAAGUUGGCGACACCAUGCUUCAGAAUCGGGGUGUAAUAUGUGAAAAGCGCUAGAAGGCAGGACAUAUCAGCCAAUGUCGAUGCUGUUAAUGCCGAUUCAAGAAAGAUGGAGCAACGGAAAAACAAGGGGAUGAUCUGAAGGCUUUUGAAGCUACUUUGGAGCAGACUGUGCAAGAUGGUGGACUUGGAAAAGUUGAUGAGCAGCAGGAGCACGUAUCUUGUCAAGCAAGAUGAGUGUAUGAAGAAAAUCCGAGAUUUGGACUCAUUGCCUGCUGAUGCUUUUGAAACCUAUAUUUCCAUUUGUUACAUUGCUAAACUGGCUAACUCAGCUGCAGAAUACCUUUUUUAUAGUGUUAACCAUGCUGUAGUUAUUUUCUGGCCAAUAAUAAAGGUACAAGAGAAAGAACAAGCGGCAGCUGCUUUAUGACUGCACUGAGCAUUUGAAGUAAUUAGUCCUUCCUGAACUUCACUGAACAGCGGAGAAGACGCGCUGAACUUGAUGCUGAUGACGAGAAAAUUAGAGAGUUGAUAUCAGUUUUAGACCAAAGGAAGGAUGAAUCAAUUGAACACAUAUUUAAAGGAGUUUGCGAGGCACUUCCGUGAAGUGUUCUCUUAAUCAGUGCAAGGUGGCCACGGAUACUUGGUUAUGAUGAGGAAAAAGGGUGGUGAUGCUGGCGAUGAUGACAUUGAUGAGGACGCGGCUCGUGAACCAGAUCCUGAAGGUAGUAUAGAGAAGUAUAUUGGUGUGAAAGUCAAGGCAUGUGUUCUUUGCACUGUUAUGUAUUCAUGCAUAUAUUAUUCGAAAUUCAUCAUAGAAAUUCAAAUGAUGCCCUGACACUAUUUCCAAGCUGUCCUAUGCGUGCAAGAAUAUUGGUGUUAAGGUUUGUGAUUCCCUAUGCAUGCACGAAAGUCAAUAAUCAUGCAAUAAAAAUCAUAUCCUACUUGUGGUGCAUUAUUCGGUGUUAAUUAUGC